rnacentral:lncRNA from 1 species
UUCGAUCCUCCACGCGUCUCCAACCUUAGUUACCUGAAAAUGUUAAAUAUGGGAUGAGCAUAUGAAAUAUACUCAGUGUGGGAAACAUGCAAUAAUUGUCCACGUUAAUAAAAUGGUCAACACAUACGCACUGCACUGUACUGAUAACUGAAAUUCGCACGGUGGCAUACCAAGGACUUUAAUGUCCUGGACCCAUUGAGCGGGCCCCUGGCGAAUAGGUUGCAACCCUAACUGUAAAAUGAAAUCGCAUUGUGGCAUACCAAGGACGGUGAAGUCCUGGACCCAUUGAGCGAGCCCCUAGCGAUAUAACUGAAUUUACAACACAUAUGGCAAACACAUACUAUUAAAAUGGACAACAAUUAACC